rnacentral:rRNA from 1 species
UACGUAGGGUCCGAGCGUUGUCCGGAAUUAUUGGGCGUAAAGGGCUCGUAGGCGGUCUGUUGCGUCGGGAGUGAAAACUUACAGCUUAACUGUGAGCGUGCUUCCGAUACGGGCAGACUUGAGGUAUUCAGGGGAGAACGGAAUUCCUGGUGUAGCGGUGAAAUGCGCAGAGAUCGGGAGGAACACCCGUAGCGAAGGCGGCACUCUGGGCCGGUACUGACGCUGAGGAGCGAAAGCGUGGGGAGCAAACAGG